CCUACGGGAGGCAGCAGUGGGGGAUAUUGCACAAUGGGCGAAACCCUGAUGCAGCGACGCCGCGUGUGGGAAGACGGUCCUCUGGAUUGUAAACCACUGUCCCCAGGGACGAAGAUGACGGUACCUGGGGAGGAAGCUCCGGCUAACUACGUGCCAGCAGCCGCGGUAAUACUUAGGGAGCGAGCGUUGUCGGUAAUUACUGGGUGUAAAGGGAGCGUAGGCGGGAAUGAAAGUUGGGUGUCAAAACUACCGGCUCAACUGGUAGUCGAAAUCUAAACUGCAGAACUCGAGAGAAGUAGAGGCAGGCGGAAUUCCUAGUGUAGCGGUGAAAUGCGUAGAUAUUAGGAGGAACACCAGUGGCGAAGGCGGCCUGCUGGGCUUUUUCUGACGCUGAGGCUCGAAAGUGUGGGGAGCAAACAGGAUUAGAUACCCGUGUAGUC
rnacentral:rRNA from 1 species